UACAGAGGGGGCAAGCGUUUGUUCGGAAUUACUGGGCGUAAAAGGGCGCGUAGGCGGCCUGUUAAGUCGAACGUGAAAUCCCCGGGCUCAACCCGGGAACUGCGUCCGAUACUGGCAGGCUUGAAUUCGGGAGAGGGAUGUGGAAUUCCAGGUGUAGCGGUGAAAUGCGUAGAUAUCUGGAGGAACACCGGUGGCGAAGGCGGCAUCCCUGGACCGAUAUUGACGCUGAUGCGCGAAAGCCAGGGGAGCAAAACGGG
rnacentral:rRNA from 1 species